CUACAUCCAAUAAAGCCAACUAUUUUCUUUUACCCAUGGAGUUGGUGUGAAGUGGCUGGGCUGCAAAUGGCGAGUAACCCCCUUGGUUUUAUACACAGUCUGUUGCUUAUAUAGGUAGCAUUUAUGGACCUUGGGGACAGUC